rnacentral:ncRNA from 2 species
GUUUUCCUUCGGGGCGGGGUGAAAUUCCCCACCGGCGGUGAUAUGAGACGCUUAACAGCGUUUUGUUCAGUCCGUGACCCGUGGGCUUCAGCUUUAUUGCUGCAGUCACCGGUGGACUUGGUGAAAUUCCGAGACCGACAGUAUAGUCUGGAUGGGAGAAGGGAAAA